GAAUGUCCUUUUAUACAUAUUUCAAAACAGCUGUAAGGUUUUACAUUUGCUGUUGCUGUUCCGUGGUCAAAUUUGAACAUGAGCCAAUCUGAUGUUCUACGGUGUAGUGGACAGACAGUAACUGCAAGAGUGACUACAGAGACUACAAGAGAUUAUUUCAGGUGGAAGAAAUACAGUGCAUCUCAUCUAUAGUAAUACAGGUUCCUGAGUCCCACUGUGUAUUUUUUUAGAAACAAAUAAGCCAGUACCUUUCAGAACAGUCAGUAAAGAUUGGGAUCCAAUGAAAGGAAAACCUAAUUUAAAACUGGUGGCUGUUUUAGUCCCCAGAUUUACCUCAUGGAAUGGGGUAAGCUGAUCAAUCGGCUAUGGUAACAGCACUCUAAGUACAUAGCAAAUCGGUAUAUUCCAUGUCUAUGUGUUAAAUGUCUUUGCAACAGGAUCUUCUGAAGAUUUACCAUUUGAGUUGUCUUCAUUGUGAAGCUGGUCGUUAAAUUGUAUCAUGCGUUUUCAGUUAGCUUGAUGCUGAAUUUUUAUGUAUGGUUUGCCUAAAAGCAAUAUUGACAUUGCCAAAACCAGGCAAAUCUAGUUCUUUGUUUCAUGACUGUGUCCUGUCAGCCUGAGAUAAAUAUUUUGGAACUUUCAAGGAACUGUUUCAAAGAUGUUGCUUUUUCUCCAUUACAGUGGGAACCUUCACUCUCUCUGAGGCUUAGAAGUUUCUAUAAAGCCUCUUUCUGCAGCUGGAAUGAGCUGCAAGGAGUAAAAGUGCUGAGAAACAAGAGAGAAUGCUUUUGCAUCUUCGGAUGGCAUCUGCUUCUGUGCAAACUGCUGACAGUGUGACCCUGCAUAAUGAUUUUCACUGUUCUUUUAACAAAUUACAUUUGUAUUCAAAUUGAUUUUCCGUGACUGCUCAUAUAGCUUCCAGAAAGCAUAUAGCAGAUAUACUAUUGCAUCCUGUACGUGUCUGGUCAGCACAGGAUAGAAUUUGAUGUCCAGUCAAGCAUUAUUAUAACUGGAAUUAAUAGUCCAGUUGUAAUAGUGGUGGUAUUAGUUGGUUUUUUUUUAAGUGUCCAACUUCCUCUUUCUCUGCCCUUUAUGUCUUUAUCCUUUAUGUUUUUUUUCAAAGGUUAUACUUCAUACAAGGUUGUGUAUCAAUGGUAGCAUAGUGAAAAGGGGCACUGUCUUACCUUCCCUCCUCCACAUUUUUCCAAUUACCAUCCAGUUGAAAAUCAAGGAAAUGAUUAACUUUGGAAGUUAUUUCAAAAGAUAAUCACUUCUUAUUAAAAGGUUGAUAUUUAUGCCUUGAAUUAGCUGUUUGUACAGCACAUGUCCAUACAGCAGCAGUGACAAACUCACAGCUUGGUAUCCCUUCAAGUAUAAAUAUCUGGAGAAGCAGCGUUUAAGAAACUGCAAGAGUCAAGAAAUAAAUCUAUGUUGUUCUCUAAUUUAUUGUGAGUCACAUAGGAGUUAGCAUGUUACUGUUUUCCAUUUUUUAGGUUUUUACACAUUUCAAACUUAUAUAAGCCACAGAGCCAGGAGUAUUUCUGAAAUCUUAAAGGAUGGUCAGUGUUGUAUUACAAGUGAUAUUGGGCUUUGUAGCAUACUUGAAGCCCAGCUGCCUUGAGUUUGAAAUAAUAUGGGUUAAACAUAAAAACAGUAUUAAUUUAUUUCAACUUUCAAAACAGGUUCACAGUGAAAAUAAGAGUUUUAAUUUUUCUUGGUCAGGUGAUACAUUAGAAAAUAAAAGGUGAGUUAAAAGAUUCAGACCCAAAUAAGGGUUGUAAUAACCUUAACAUUUGCAAACCUAAGACCUCUGGAAAAUGCUGUCUUACAUUGGAGGACCUACACACAUUCUCCAUUUAAAGGGGAUGAAGGGAGAAUGUAGGGGGAAAGCCAACAUCAGCCUAAAUUCAGUGAGUUAUAUCAGCCUGAGGAGUAAGUGAUAAUGGGUCUAAGUUUCCUUUAUAGGAAACUUAGAUCUUACGUUAAAGGGAAAGCUACUCACUGAGUGUAGUGACAGUAGGGUAUGGCUAAUUUUCUAAUGAUAUGGUGUGUAGGGGGUAAAGCAGCCUUUGUGCCAUUCGUAUUGCAGGAGCAGAGUGUGGACCUGUUCAAAAACAGUAACUGCAAUUGCGUAGCUGGAUCUGGGGUAUUACUGAAAGCAGAGGCUGAGCUAGCAGCUGGUGUCCCAGAAAUUUGGAGAUGCAGAAUUUGUGCAUGUAUUUUCAUGGUUUGGGAUUUUAUCAAAUUUCAGUCUCAUUGUUGGGGCAAUGUACUUGUGGGGUUUUUCUAUUGUUUGUUUGUGUGGGUUUUUUUCUCUUUUGUCAGCAAGCUGUGUUUCCUUUCAUCACAGUGGGCGUGUUCUUCUAUUUUAAGUUUUAAAAGCUGAGAAAUGAAACAGACCAUGGUUAUCUAAUAAAGUCUCUAGCUAAUAAUUACA